GACGAACGCUGGCGGCGUGCUUAACACAUGCAAGUCGAACGGAAAGGCCCUGCUUUUGUGGGGUGCUCGAGUGGCGAACGGGUGAGUAACACGUGAGUAACCUGCCCUUGACUUUGGGAUAACUUCAGGAAACUGGGGCUAAUACCGUAUCGGAGCUCCUGCUGCAUGGUGGGGGUUGGAAAGUUUCGGCGGUUGGGGAUGGACUCGCGGCUUAUCAGCUUGUUGGUGGGGUAGUGGCUUACCAAGGCUUUGACGGGUAGCCGGCCUGAGAGGGUGACCGGCCACAUUGGGACUGAGAUACGGCCGAGACGGCUACGGGAGGCAGCAGGGGGGAAGAUUGCACAAGGGGCGGAAGCCUGAUGCAGCAACGCCGCGGGCGGGAUGACGGCCGUCGGGUUGUAAACCGCGUGCGCCUGGGACGAAGCGUGAGUGACGGUAAUGGGUAAAGAAGGACCGGCUAACUACGUG
rnacentral:rRNA from 1 species